UACUUAGUGGCAGACGGGUGAGUAACAUGUGGGUAUCUACCCUUUGGCCUGGAAUAACACGAGGAAACUUGUGCUAAUACCGGAUAAGUCUUUACGGAGGAAGCUUUAUGCACCAUUGGAGGAGCCCGCACUUGAUUAGUUUGUUGGUAGGGUAAUGGCCUACCAAGACUAUGAUCAAUAGCUGAUUUGAGAGGAUGAUCAGCCACAUUGGGACUGAGACACGGCCCAAACUCCUACGGGAGGCAGCAGUGGGGAAUCUUGCACAAUGGAGGAAACUCUGAUGCAGCGAUGCCGCGUGAGUGAAGAAGGCCUUUGGGUUGUAAAGCUCUUUCGUCGGGGAAGAAAAUGACUGUACCCGAAUAAGAAGGUCCGGCUAACUUCGUGCCAGCAGCCGCGGUAAUACGAAGGGACCUAGCGUAGUUCGGAAUUACUGGGCUUAAAGAGUUCGUAGGUGGUUGAAAAAGUUGGUGGUGAAAUCCCAGAGCUUAACUCUGGAACUGCCAUCAAAACUUUUCAGCUAGAGUAUGAUAGAGGAAAGCAGAAUUUCUAGUGUA
rnacentral:rRNA from 1 species